ACAUGCCUACAACAUAGUGUCAAUGCAAGGGUCCCAUUAUAACUCUAGAGUUAAGCGCACUCAGGAUAGAGUAGUACUCGGAUGGGUGACCACCCGAAAAGUCCUAAUGUUUUACAUUUC
rfam:Picea glauca, whole genome shotgun sequence.